GCAAUAAACCUAGCCCAAACACCAAAACAAACAACCACACACACAAACCAAACCAUUUAUCAAAACUAGUAUGUGCGACAGAACAUACACCAUUGGAGCAAUAGUAGUAGUACCGCAAGGAAACGCUGAAAGAAUAAUGAAAAACCAAAGCAACAAAAAGCAAAGAUCAACACUUGUACCUUUUGCAUCAUGAUUUAGCCAGAAAACCACAGACAAAAAGAAUUAAGCCUGUACCCCCGAAACUAGAUGAGCUACUACAGGGCAACUAUAAGAGUGAACCCGUCUCUGUGGCAAAAGAGUGGGAUGACCAAGUAGUAGGGGUGAAAAGCCUAACGAAUCUAGUUAUAGCUGGUUGCUCAAUAAACGAAUUUUAGUUCAACUUUAGGCACUGACAAGCCAACAAUACUUACAUCGAUAAGCCUAAAAGAUAUUCAAUGGGGGUACAGCCCCAUUGAAACUGGAUACAACCAAAACCUGAGAGCUAGUAAACCUUAUAACACCCGUAGGCCCUUAAGCAGCCACCAAAAACUCAAAGCGUCAAAGCACAAAACAGAAAAUACCAAAUGCACACACAAACUCCUGGCCACAUACUGAGCCACACUAUAAUAAUAGACGAACUAAUGCUAAAACUAGUAACAAGAGAAACUCUCUUAUAGCACACCUCUGCCCCAGUUAUAGAAAAACUGCUGAUAAUUAACAGACCAAAAAAGGUAAAAACACCUAAACAGCCUGUUUAAAACACUGUCACAAUCCAACACCAGGGGAGGUGCCAACAUUAGAGAGAUUAAUAGCUGUAGAAGGAACUCAGCAAAACUUGUCCCAACUGUUUACCAAAAACAUAGCCUUUAGCAACACAAGUAUUAAAGGUCCUGCCUGCCCAGUGAAACUUUUCAACGGCCGCGGUAUUCUAACCGUGCAAAGGUAGCGUAAUCACUUGUCUCUUAAAUAGGGACUAGUAUGAACGGCUAAAUGAGGACAAGCCUGUCUCCUACAACCAAUCAGUGAAAUUGAUCUUCCAGUCCAAAAGCUGGAAUAUAAACACAAGACGAGAAGACCCUGUGGAGCUUUAAACUUACUACCAACAAAUUUAUCUGGUAUAACGUUUUGAGUUGGGGCGACUUCGGAAAAAAACAAAACUUCCGAGAACAGAACCAUCACUUCUAACCGAGGCAGACAUGCCAAAACAAAUUUAGACCCAGUCACACUGAUCAACGAACCAAGUUACCCCAGGGAUAACAGCGCUAUCUUCUUCAAGAGUCCAUAUCGACAAGAAGGUUUACGACCUCGAUGUUGGAUCAGGACACCCAAAUGGUGCAGCCGCUAUUAAAGGUUCGUUUGUUCAACGAUUAACAGUCCUACGUGAUCUGAGUUCAGACCGGAGCAAUCCAGGUCGGUUUCUAUCUAUGACGCACCCUUUUUCAGUACGAAAGGACAAAUAAGGGAGGGCCCCUACUAACAGUAUGCCCUACAUCAACAUGACUGAAUACAACUAAAGUCACGCCAGCAACCACAUAACCCUGUGGCCAAAGAUAACGGCUU
rnacentral:rRNA from 1 species